CGUGGGUAACCUGCCUUAUAGUGGGGGAUAGCCUUUCGAAAGGAAGAUUAAUACCGCAUAAGAUUGUAGUAUCGCAUGAUAUAGCAAUUAAAGGAGCAAUCCGCUAUAAGAUGGACCCGCGUCGCAUUAGCUAGUUGGUGAGGUGAUGGCUCACCAAGGCGACGAUGCGUAGCCGACCUGAGAGGGUGAUCGGCCACAUUGGGACUGAGACACGGCCCAGACUCCUACGGAGGCAGCAUG
rnacentral:rRNA from 1 species